CUCUUGGCAGCGGUGCCAAAGUGGGCAGGCAGACUGAGCAAACACAGCACAGGGCAGAGCAGAGGGCGAUCCAAAGGCUGGCAAAUUGAUCAUGUGUAUGUUUGUAUUUUGAACUGUCCUCUGUGUGUGUUCGCUGGUUCGACUCGGCUUUGGUCAUACGGGCUGUGUGUGAGCAGACGUCCCGAUGUCACCCUGUGUUCGGACAGACGCACUCACGCCAGUAGGAGGGGAUUGUGGGAAGGGGGCGUAGCACUCAGAGGGUGUGCUCUACUCCUCUCGUUCCCCUUCUUCCCGCCAUCACGGCCCUCUUCUCCUUCAGUCCUCCGGCCCAGCCCGCCGCACACAUACAGGCUUCAGGAAAGUCAACAUUGUGGAUCUUUGGUGCUGAAGCAACGUGGAUGCUGUCCUUGGGGCUGAGGUAGUAGAUUGAAUAGUUGUGGGGUUUUUCAACCUCUUUUUCAGAUAACUAUACAAUCUACUGUCUUUCCCAAGGAGACAGCUGAGUCAGCCACUCGCCAACUGUGUUCUGCUGAUGGACAAUCAUACAAUCCAAUCAGAAAAUCUCUGUUAACUUACUGCUUUUUGACAAGUUUGUUAGAUGUUCUAUGCUAGAACAGAUCCGGUUUCAAGCUCCCUGAAAGGUGAACUUAUUUCACUUGGGCUCUGACAGGGUGAGGUAGUAGGUUGUAUAGUUUGUUGGGUGGGACUGCACCCUGCUCAGGUGAUAACUAUACAGUCUAUUGCCUUCCCUGAGGAGCUCACUGGACACUCAUGGAUAUUCACCACUCUUCUCAGAUCAAGUGUAACAUUUAUUCAGAGAAAUUGCAAACAACAAAAUAAGAGCAGGAAUUUACAGUGUGAGCUUAGAAGCAUUAGUGAUGACUGCAUCUGUUUUACUGAUUGAAGCUGUAACUUCCUUCCAAUAUGUAAAUCUCAAUAAAAAUCAUUCUUGCUUCAAA